GCAGUGAUGGUGGAGGUUGAGGGAGGCAGUGUUGGUGAAGGUUGAGGGAGGCAGUGUUGGUGGAGGUUGAGGGAGUCAGUGUUGGUGAAGGUUAGUGUUGAGGGAGGCAAUGCUGGUGGAGGUCGAGGGAGGCAGUGCUGGUGGAGGUUGAGGGAGGCAGUGUUGGUGAAGGUUUAGGGAGGCAGUGAUGGUGGAGUUUAUUAUUGAGGGAGGCAGGGAUGGUGGAGGUUGAGGGAGGCAUUGCUGGUGAAGGUUGAGGGAGGCAGUGCUGGUGGAGGUUAGUGUUGAGGGAGGCAGUGCUGGUGAAGGUUUAGGGAGGCAGUGAUGGUGGAGGUUGAGGGAGGCAGUGCUGGUGGAGGUUAUUAUUGAGGGAGGCAGUGAUGGUGGAGGUUAGUAUUGAGGGAGGGAGUGAUGGUGGAGGUUACUGUUGAGGGAGGCAGUGCUGGUGGAGAUUAGUGUUGAGAGAGGCAGUGCUGGUGGAGGUUAUUUUUGAGGGAGGCAGUGAUGGUGGAGGUUAUUAUUGAGGGAGGCAGUGAUGGUGGAGGUUGAGGG
ensembl:lncRNA